GACGAACGCUGGCGGCGUGCUUAACACAUGCAAGUCGAACGGUGAAGGUGGAGCUUGCUCCGCCGGAUCAGUGGCGAACGGGUGAGUAACACGUGGGCAACCUGCCCCAGACUUCGGGAUAACUCCUCGAAAGAGGCGCUAAUACCGGAUACGAGUUCUGCAGGCAUCUGCGGAAUUGGAAAGUUUUUCGGUCUGGGAUGGGCCCGCGGCCUAUCAGCUUGUUGGUGAGGUAACGGCUCACCAAGGCGACGACGGGUAGCCGGCCUGAGAGGGCGACCGGCUACACUGGGACUGAGACACGGCCCAGACACCUACGGGAGGCAGCAGUGGGGAAUAUUGCGCAAUGGGCGAAAGCCUGACGCAGCAACGCCGCGGGCGGGAUGAAGGCCUUCGGGUUGUAAACCGCUUUCAGCAGGGAAGAAGCGAAAGUGACGGUACCUGCAGAAGAAGCACCGGCUAACUACGUGCCAGCCGCCGCCGUAA
rnacentral:rRNA from 1 species